CUCCGUACAUUUAUCGGUCCAAAAAAACACAUGACGUUAAUUUUAUUAAUAAAAUUACCCUCGCGUCUAACGGCAAAACAAACACGCUUUUCAUUUAAUGAGGUGACAUUUUUUUACUGGGACACGUGGCCUUUUCAGCAAAAAAUCAAACAUGGGUCUUACUUCAACCCAUUAAUGGAUCCGACUUUACCCGGCUCAAAAACUUUACGUUAACCCAUCCUUUUGAACCCAAUUUGCUUCAACAAAGCUUCACCUAAUUUCAUGUUCUCUUGUCGAAUUGCUCCUGCACAUGCCAUUAAUGUGUGGCCAAGUUGACUGAGACGUUCGCGUGGAAAUUGACUCGCUCUCAAAACUACCCCACAUACCACCACUCACCAAGAUUCGUGAGGAGGACGACAAUAACUCUAUUGUAGUUGUGAGUUUUAAUCUCUUGCUCUGUAGUUGUUACACCGGCGACGCAUGUAGUAAUCUAGUUGGAUUUUCAAUUUGGGGAAAAACGGCUUUACUUGGGAUAGUAGUUAGAUUUGUUCUUUGAGGAAUAUUAGUUGUGAAAGAGGAAGAUUAAUUGAUAAAAGGUUCUUGUGGUUGAGUUCAGAAUCAUAGAUUCGAGCCAAAGAUGAGAGAUUUGAAGGUUAUAAUGAACAGUUUCAGAAGCAAGAAAUGAAAGAUUAUUUUGUUGAACACUACCCAUAACUUCUUCAAGCUGUUCAACUUUCUGAGCAACUUCAGCCAUGUCUGAUGCCUUCACUUUGUAACCCAAAAUAGCAAGCAUCUCAUCAUCAACUCCUGCAUCUUGCUCUGCUUCCUCCCACAUCUUUCUUUCCAGGUGUCCACCCGCAGUAGAGGUACAACCAUCGGAAAAUGAAUUUUCCAGUUGCUGAUACGACAUCGUUUGAUUAAUGUAAAUAUCUGAUGCCAUAAAAAAGGAUGGGUUAAUUUUAAUAUUUUGACCCAGUUAACAAACCCAAGAUACGUUAAUGGGUUAGAAAUAAGACUCAUGUUUGAUUUUCUGCCGAAAAUGCCAUGUGUCCUGAUAAUUAGGGAUUUUAAUACAUUUUAUACUCCUUCUUGCUUAAGUUUUGAUUAGAAAUUUGUACAAAAUAGUCCCAAAAGGCUCACAAGUUGUGCUUGAUUGCAGGUUUGAUCAAUAAUGUGAUAAGAUGUCAAAGAUCAGCUCAAAAGGAGUGAAACUUGCACAAGUGCCAAAGACAAGACAAGCUCAGGCAAAGCAGGCCUAGUGAGGCCGCACACCAUUCUGUGCGGUCCGCACUAGGAGAUUCAGAGAGGUCGACUUCCAGGCAAAUAUGCAAUGCGGAUGCACUAGGUUUUGUGCGGCCCGCACUGAAGGCAAUGUGGCCGCACUCGAUUUAGUGCGGUCCGCGGUCCAUUUUAUGCGGACCACACUAGAAGCCUAUGCGACCGCAGUCCAUUAUGUGCGGUCCGUAUUGCCCAAGUUCAGAGAGCUGUAUUUUCAAGUUCAGAGCCCUAGUGCUGCCGCACACCAUUUUGUGCGGUCCUCACUAACCCCGCAGGAGCAUUUUUUCCAGAAUUUUUAGCUUAGUAUAAAUAGUUUAUUUUCCCAUUUUUAGGGUAUCAGAUAGUUUUGUAACGUAGCUGCGCUCGUGGGUUCGACUUU
rnacentral:lncRNA from 1 species